rnacentral:rRNA from 1 species
GAGUUUGAUCUUGGCUCAGAUUGAACGCUGGCGGCAUGCCUUACACAUGCAAGUCGAACGGCAGCACGGGAGCUUGCUCCUGGUGGCGAGUGGCGAACGGGUGAGUAAUGCAUCGGAACGUAUCCUGGAGUGGGGGAUAACGUAGCGAAAGUUACGCUAAUACCGCAUAUUCUGUGAGCAGGAAAGCGGGGGACCUUCGGGCCUCGCGCUCUUGGAGCGGCCGAUGUCGGAUUAGCUAGUUGGUGAGGUAAAGGCUCACCAAGGCGACGAUCCGUAGCAGGUCUGAGAGGAUGAUCUGCCACACUGGAACUGAGACACGGUCCAGACUCCUACGGGAGGCAGCAGUGGGGAAUUUUGGACAAUGAGGGCAACCCUGAUCCAGCCAUGCCGCGUGAGUGAAGAAGGCCUCGGUU